rnacentral:rRNA from 1 species
GAUGAACGCUAGCUACAGGCUUAACACAUGCAAGUCGAGGGGCAGCACAGUGUAGCAAUACAUGGGUGGCGACCGGCGCACGGGUGCGUAACGCGUAUCCAACCUUCCCGUUACUCAGGGAUAGCCUUCCGAAAGGGAGAUUAAUACCUGAUGGUGUUUGAAUUCCGCAUGUUAUUCAAACUAAAGAUUUAUCGGUAACGGAUGGGGAUGCGUGACAUUAGAUAGUAGGCGGGGUAACGGCCCACCUAGUCUACGAUGUCUAGGGGUUCUGAGAGGAAGGUCCCCCCACACUGGAACUGAGACACGGUCCAGACUCCUACGGGAGGCAGCAGUGAGGAAUACUGGUCAAUGGUCGGAAGACUGAACCAGCCAAGUAGCGUGAAGGAUGAAGGUUCUAUGGAUUGUAAACUUCUUUUAUACGGGAAUAAAACCACCUACGUGUAGGUGCUUGUAUGUACCGUAUGAAUAAGCAUCGGCUAACUCCGUG